rnacentral:rRNA from 1 species
GACGAACGCUGGCGGCGUGCUUAACACAUGCAAGUCGAACGGAAAGGCCCUGCUUUUGUGGGGUGCUCGAGUGGCGAACGGGUGAGUAACACGUGAGUAACCUGCCCUGGACUUUGGGAUAACUUCAGGAAACUGGUGCUAAUACCGGAUAGGAGCUCCUGCUGCAUGGUGGGGGUUGGAAAGUUUCGGCGGUUGGGGAUGGACUAGCGGCUUAUCAGCUUGUUGGUGGGGUAGUGGCUUACCAAGGCUUUGACGGGUAGCCGGCCUGAGAGGGUGACCGGCCACAUUGGGACUGAGAUACGGCCCAGACUCCUACGGGAGGCAGCAGUGGGGAAUAUUGCACAAUGGGCGGAAGCCUGAUGCAGCAACGCCGCGUGCGGGAUGACGGCCUUCGGGUUGUAAACCGCUUUCGCCUGUGACGAAGCGUGAGUGACGGUAAUGGGUAAAGAAGCACCGGCUAACUACGUG